GGAAGUAUAUAAAACAUAUACAUUUGAAUUCAAAAAUAUUUACUUAUGAACUUACCUCGAGCGGAAACGAACGAAUCGGAUCAACUACUCGUCAACUUUUAAUUUCCCUCGAUCUAAAUCCGAUUUCUUUCUUUCUUGAUCUAUAUUGUACAGCCCAAAAUUUGCCCGGGGCCUAAACCUAACCCGAAGCCCAAAUUAACAAAAACACCUAAUACCCCAAAAUAGCCCAACAAGCCCAAUUCUCUAAACCCAAAACCCGAAUGGCCCAAAUCCAAAACAAAAAAGAAAAAAACCUAAUCACCCUAACCCUAGCCUAGCGCCGUACCUAGCCCACUUGCCCUCUGCCACCGCCGCCUGCAGCCCCCUGCCCACUUGCCACCGCCAUGGUCACGUCGCC
rnacentral:lncRNA from 1 species